rnacentral:tRNA from 1 species
GGAGUUGUGCCUGAAUUUAAGGACCACUUUGAUAGAGUGUGAUAUGGGGGUUAAAAUCCCCCCAACUCCC